GAUGAACGCUGGCGGCGUGCCUAAUACAUGCAAGUCGAGCGAACAGACGAGGAGCUUGCUCCUCUGACGUUAGCGGCGGACGGGUGAGUAACACGUGGAUAACCUACCUAUAAGACUGGGAUAACUUCGGGAAACCGGAGCUAAUACCGGAUAAUAUAUUGAACCGCAUGGUUCAAUAGUGAAAGACGGUUUUGCUGUCACUUAUAGAUGGAUCCGCGCCGCAUUAGCUAGUUGGUAAGGUAACGGCUUACCAAGGCGACGAUGCGUAGCCGAGCUGAGAGGGUGAUCGGCCACACUGGAACUGAGACACGGUCCAGACUCCUACGGGAGGCAGCAGUAGGGAAUCUUCCGCAAUGGGCGAAAGCCUGACGGAGCAACGCCGCGUGAGUGAUGAAGGUCUUCGGAUCGUAAAACUCUGUUAUUAGGGAAGAACAAAUGUGUAAGUAACUAUGCACGUCUUGACGGUACCUAAUCAGAAAGCCACGGCUAACUCCGUG
rnacentral:rRNA from 1 species